rnacentral:lncRNA from 1 species
ACUUCAUGGUAAUCACUGUUAAUACUUGGGAGUAAAUAUUUCCAGUUUCCCCUAGAUAUGUCAUUGGUUUUCUUGGCCUGUGGUUAGCAAUUCUGGCUCUGCUUUUGUCUCGAUAUUAUGUUGUUGCCAUACACCUCCGUACAAGCAUAGUCCAGGUAAACUCUCCUCCUCAACCCAGCGCAAACCCUUCAAACACAGCAGUGGAUUCCAAGUCUCAGGACUCCUUGGAAACUACAGAUGGAAAGACUUCUCCACAGACCCUUGCUUGUCUGUGGUCUCUAAAAUCCAUUGCCAAGAUGGGUGAAAGUUUUCCUUUGCUCCCUGUUCUGCUUGUCUUACCUGAGGCGAUGCCGCAUGUGAUAGCACAGGAUGAAUGUUUCUGAACACAAAACGUUUCCCAGCAGCGCUCCGUGGAGCAUCAAUCCCCCAGCGAGCUCAGAAAACAAGGGACAUGUGGGUUUCUGUUACUUCUAAAAGACUCAGAGGGAAAGUUCUAAAAUUGGACCAAUGGGACGUUUUUAGCUCUUACCAGGCAGAUUUUUCCACAGAGCUUGAGAAAGUUCCUGUAGUUCCAGUGCUGCGAUCUCAAGAUCCCAGGCUCGUUGCCAGGUGAUUCCUAUGCUGGCUGUUAGUUAAACACAGUCCAGGUAAAAUGAAAUUUUGUUCAAGGGACACUGCUUUCUAUUUUACAAGGAUGCUAGUAAAUGGCCACUCCUUCUUCCAUAUUUAUGUGAGUCAUGUCUGUCAUGUAA